GGAUGUGAGGGCGACCUGGCUCUGACAUCUGUCACCCCAUUGAUCGCCAGGGUUGGUUCAGCUGAUCUGCUAGCUAGCUGGGUGUCCCCUUUUGCCCUCAACACUCCAUAUGUGUCCCUCCCAAAGCUGCACGUUCUGUAAAGAGGACAGAUGACCCCACUGAUAGAGGAGGACCCUUCCUCAGUCAAGAGCAUAGCAGUAGCUGCGCACCCCUGCUAGAAUCUUCAAACAGGCUCUCAGUACUGCCAGAAUGAAUGGUAUGAAGAGCAGUGAAGGAUAUGAUAAAGGUUCCCACCGUUUUUC
rnacentral:snRNA from 1 species